GACGUAGGGUGCAAGCGUUAUCCGGAUUUACUGGGCGUAAAGCGUUUCGUAGGCGGAAAUGUAAGUCAAUAGUGAAAUAUCUCGGCUCAACCGAGGGAACGCUAUUGAUACUGCUUUUCUUGAGUGUCAAAGGGGAGACUGGAACUGUCGGUGUAGCAGUGAAAUGCGUUGAUAUCGACAGGAACACCAAGGGCGAAGGCAGGUCUCUGGGUGACUACUGACGCUGAUGAACGACAGCUAGGGGAGCGAAAGGG
rnacentral:misc_RNA from 1 species